UGCUGUAUGUGGAUUUCUAACAACAUGAUAAAACAUUCUCAAGAAUAACUUUGUUUCAUCACUAUUUAAAAACCUUGGUGCCUCCCAAACACAGCACAGAAAUCGAGCAGAGGAGAUAGACUUUGGAGACAAAACACACCAACUAAAACGUAUCGUCGUGCACAAACAUGUUACCAGAAACAAUGGAAUAAGAUCAACAAUAUGUAUUAGAAAACUUCUGAAACUAUAUCAUAAGAACACCACCCAAAAACCCAAGGUGUCCCUUUUCUCUCAGCAAUCCCUGGGCAAUCAAGGGAGACUACUUCCUCUUGAUACUCAGGCUGAAAACAAUGGUUCAAAGAAGAUUAAUUCCAAGGAUUUUUGAACAGGUCUAUGCUAGCCAUCUUAAACUGCGAUAGCAAUGGAGCAAGCCGUACAACUUGACAGGUCAACAACAUCAUGACAUGGCGGUGCCAACCGCAGCCGCUCCUCGCGGCACAACAUGGUGCCCUGCCCCUCACACCGCGCCACUGCCGCACUCUUACCUUACCAGGGGCCACAGACCCUGCCGGAUUCUGGAAGUGUCAGCCUCAAAAGAAAGCACAGCCCAAGCCGCUGCUCACUUCACCUUGCUCUCCCUGCAGACAGCACGGCAGCCCACAGCCAAGUAGUGCCAGCGCUGGAAGCUUCCUGAAGGUGGGCGGCAACCGGGGCGGCACAGCCGGGCCUUGCCUCACAGUGGCCCGCAUGCUGUCCCUGCGCUGUGGCUGCCCAGCUGCUGGCAGGCGUUUUCGUGGCUUCUGCAAGCAACUUGUGCAGGACUUGUGCAGAGGGACAAUCUGUCAUGAAAAUACCAGGAGACAGAAACAUACCUCUGUGCAGUCCCUUCAAUUGUUCACUGCAGACACAAAGGAUAGAGCAAAGCUACGGGUGAGGCAGAAAGGCGUUAGAACCCCUAGAAGGAGCAAAGGAAGGUGCUGCAUUUAUCCCAUUGCUUGUCGGAUGAAAAUGGCCAGGGUGUUUGAAACACUCUUGACAAUCCUUUCCUUACAGUCUUACAAAACUCUCCUGUCACGAUGGUGGGGCUUCUCUUCAUCUUUGUUACUAGCUAAGGUUCAAGCAGAACCGCUGGAUCCAUCGCAGCUCAUCCCUAGCCACCCCUCUGAAGGGUGGCUGAUAGCUCUCCGUGCUGCAGUGGCUGGUGCUGGGGGGCUCCAUCGCUCUCGCGCACGACAAACUGGCACGUAGGUGCAAAACUGUUGUCUGUUGGAAUAUGCCUCUCAUGGACUUGGCUGUUGUAGAAAUCCCCUGUCACGACAGCUCAGCGAAACAGGUAUGAGAAGGAUUGACAGCCAGGCUUAAUCCGUGUGCCAUCAACACGACGUAAACCAAACUGCAUGCUGCUUUUGUAUUUUGUCCCUUUGUUGCUUAUGUAUGCCUUAUUUCCCAUUUUAUUAAAAAAAAAUAUGUUGAUAAAUAAGUGUAUUAGAGUUGUGGCCUUAAUCUCCUCAGCUUUGUGCUGCACUGCGGCUGGGACACGAACCCUCUUUGUGGGUGAUGUUCUGUUCGUGCAUAAUGAGGCACCGCUGCUGCACGGAUAUAUAUGGGACCAGGAAAAACGAAGUGACAACUUAUUUCACUAAAUUCCUAGAAUUUAGUACCCAACAUAGUAAAAUACAAUGGGCGAUUGGUCAAACUCGGGCAACUGAAAUACAACGUGGAAACGUAACCUAGAAGAAAAGGAAUUACGUCUGGUCUGUGGUAUUUUAGCGUGGUUAAUGGCCAUGCAAUUGUUCAUUCUGGUCCAUGUUCAAAGCCUCUCAUUGAAUAUAUGAGUUAACAGGUAAAAAUGGAGGCACUUCACUGAAUGACUGGGGAUUUUUACAAGGUGUUUUUAGAACUCUCUCAUCCUCUCCCUGCAUACCUUUUUCAGAGAGAUUGUGGUGUUUAAACUAUAUUUAGCGAUAAAAGUGAGACAUUACCUACAUCCUGCUAUAGCGGAGAAGGUAAAUCAAGGCUUUCACAUCCAUUUCCAAACUACUUUUAAAGGCCACACGCAGAAGAUUAGGCUCUUAGGGUUAAGUGCAAGUUUUCUCGUUCAGCAGAACAGCGCCUAGAACUGCCUCCUCACCCCAGAGCGGAGCACAGCGAAAACGCUAUUUACCAGCAAUUACUGCCUUCACUAAGAAGCGCCUACUGCAGGCAUCUGGCAAAGCGCUGCCAGUAACUCCAGGUCCCCCAGUCGCUA
ensembl:lncRNA